rnacentral:lncRNA from 1 species
UAGUAGUUAGCAAAGGAGAAAUGUAUGUAGGAAAAAGUUAUCUCACGGAAGGCCUUUAUAAGAUGAAUGUAAUGACUGUUGAAAUGAAUAAAAAUUCAAAUUCUUCUUACUUGCUUGAGUCUUAUAAUUUAUGGCAUGAACGUUUAGGCCAUAUUAAUUAGAAAACGUUACGAAAACUGAUUAACUUAGAAGUUUUGCCAAACUUUGAGUGCAAUAAAUCUAAGUGUCAAACAUG